rnacentral:rRNA from 1 species
UACAGAGGGGGCAAGCGUUGUUCGGAAUUACUGGGCGUAAAGGGCGCGUAGGCGGCCUGCUAAGUCGAACGUGAAAUCCCUGGGCUCAACCCAGGAACUGCGUCCGAUACUGGUUGGCUUGAAUCCGGGAGAGGGAUGUGGAAUUCCAGGUGUAGCGGUGAAAUGCGUAGAUAUCUGGAGGAACACCGGUGGCGAAGGCGGCAUCCUGGACCGGUAUUGACGCUGAGACGCGAAAGCGUGGGGAGCGAACAGG